UCAUUUUCUUUUGCGAGUUCA
rnacentral:piRNA from 1 species